CCAGGGAGCUAAGUAUACUUCCAGUAUGUAGUGGAGGUGGUCCAGGGAGCUGAGUAUACUUCCAGUAUGUAGUGGAGGUGGUCCAGGGAGCUGAGUAUACUUCCAGUAUGUAGUGGAGGUGGUCCAGGGAGCUGAGUAUACUUCCAGUAUGUAGUGGAGGAGGUCCAGGGAGCUGAGUAUACUUCCAGUAUGUAGUGGAGGUGGUCCAGGGAGCUGAGUGGCGACCAUGCAACAGGGUUAUUAUGUUGUCUCAGCACAUCUCAUGGAGUGGUGGCAUAGUCCCACUUUCUUCCCAUCUUCAUGGUCUGCUCUAGUCUGUGUGUGUUAGACAUGUAACCUAGCCUACAGUAGGGGGUCCUAGUGAAGUGGCCAUCAUGUAACAGGGUUACUAUGCUGUCUCAGCACAUCUCAGAUAGUGUUGGCGUCUGAAUGUCUAUUACUUCAUGGCCAUCCAGCAUGUACUGUGCUGUAGGAGGUCCUUGUAGUGAAGUGGCCACCAUGUAACAGGGUUAUUCAACUUGGCUCCUGAGUAAUGGUCCUAUAGAGGUGGUCACUGGGGAUC
rnacentral:lncRNA from 1 species